rnacentral:lncRNA from 1 species
UGUGGGUCCUCACCAGGGCAUCAGAUGAACGGCUGAGUGACAGAGGCGGCUUCAAACAAGAAUCAGUAAAUAUGAGAAGGAGAUGCUUAUCUGGUAGAGGAAGUGAAGCUGUACAAUGACAGAAACCACGGGGUUUGAGAAGGGUGGGGGGGGGGGGUGGAAUAAGGUGGGUGUCGACCAGGCGGCCAGGCGUUGACCUUGUGCUACACCUCGCUUGAUGGAUAUAGUAGGAGUGUGACUUGUGCUGCACGAAACGUGAGCUCAGAUCAAAGUGGCACAAACAUUUGUUGUCGCCGUUCGAUCGCCAUGGAAACAGCGUGAGCUCUUCACGCCUCACGCAGCCUCCAGGGAGCCAAGUUCUCCAUCAGAUCCUCUACAGCAGCCACAGACGAACCACUGAGUCAAAUCAAGGCCACACUGAUCUUCAUCACUGUAAAGGUAACACAUCAGUCUCUGGAAUCCAGUCUCUUUACACUGUUAUCUCUUCAUUCACAACGCAAUUGUUUACCUACAUUUCACUAUAUUCUGCUUUUGUGAAAAGGGGACGUUCAGAAUGUACUUUAAAGUAAAGCACCGAACUUCAGAGUCUGCAUCCAAAUCUGUCCUUCUGCUCAUGUGACGCA